AGGCGGCAACAACAUCUCCACCUGCUCACUCCUCUUGUCUUAUAAAAACAGCUUACAUGCCCAAUGUCAACAGGUCAAUGUUAUUGUCUUCUUAUGAGAAAUACAUAAAUUCGUUUAAAAUCCAUUAAGGUCCAAAUACUCCGAACUGUCAUUCAUUUUAUAGUUAUUUCUACAAGUCUUCAUGUAUUUGUUUUAAAGGUCUGGUAAGAGCAACAAGUUUUAAAAAAAGAAACAUAUAACAAACAUAAUAAGGAUAAUAAAAAUUAUUACUUAAUACACAAAACUUACAUAACUAUACUGGAGAAAAAAUAUCCAGAAACAAAAGGUACUCUCAA
rnacentral:lncRNA from 1 species